GUCACAAGUAAUCCUCGUGUGUGACAGAGAGAGAGAGGGAGAGGGAGAGGGAGGGAGGGAGGGAGGCGAGCCUGCCGAGAGGAGCCGCAGGCAGGAGGGGAACCGGGCACAACGGGGGGGAGAGGAAACCCGACGCACCAGGGCCUCCAGACGCCAGGGCCGCGCCCGAGACGCCGAAAGGAGCCUGUUUGUGUGCUGCGGCCGCCCCGUGACACUGGAUCUUGUCUUCUGGCCGGCGCCUCGAUUCCUGCCCAGCUGGAUUUGGGGGGCGACAGCGCCCGGCGCAGGGCGGAGAGCAAAUGAGACUGCGAAGGAGCAUAAAAUGAAUAGACAAUACAACCAACCAAAGACCGGGGGCAGCAGCACGCCAGCAAGACGGCAUCUUCUCCUCCCCAGCCUAGAAGCCCUGUGAAAUCGAGGAUCUUCCCCCUAAAACACACACACACGAGAUAUGUGCAAUCAAGCUGCCACCGCUUGGUAAAAAGCUCACGGUGCCUAACCCAAAAGGAUCAGGAGCAGAUCCUUGAAUCAGCUGUCACCUCUUCUAUAGAAUGGGAUGUUUUUUUUUCCUUCCUCCUUAACCUGCGCUGGAAAUUGCCGUUGGCUUUGUACAUCUCUAUAGAGGGAGGCUAAAGAGUCUUGCGUGAGAAUGAAGCAAUUUACAAUGCAAAUAGAGGCCUGUGGAGGGACGGAUGCUGCUGCUCACUCGUAACCGCUUGCUGCACCUUAAUAGCUGGUUUUAUUUUUUGAUAUUAAUAGAUGAAUUGUUGGCUAACGCUGUCGGAGAUUACUUGCUGAAAGGAAAGAAAAGUUCGGAAUAAACUUUGAAAGC
rnacentral:lncRNA from 12 species